ensembl:snRNA LOC120095790 U2 spliceosomal RNA
AUCGCUUCUCGGCCUUUUGGCUAAGAUCAAGUGUAGUAAAUGCAUGUAUUUAUGUUAUAUAUAUAUAUAUAUAUGAUCCCUU